CGCGAGCCGCAGGCGGCGGGUGGUGCGUCGAUCUUAUCCCAAUGUGCGCCGGCUCCUUGCGUGAGCCCCAGUGACGGCGUGGCCCUCGAUCGGCAGUUCUGCCUUUCGUUAUAUAUAUAUAUAUAUAUAAGAGAACUCAGGCUCAUUUUUCCGGCGAGACAGUCGAUAUUCAGUCGCGCCAAAGGCUGGCAGUGAGCUUCCGUUCGCUAGCGAGCUUCUCCUGGCCGAAGGAGCGUCGGUGUCGCUAGCCAUGGUAGCAAUCCCAUCGAGCGGCG
rnacentral:lncRNA from 1 species